GCCCGGCUAGCUCAGUUGGUAGAGCAUUCGACUCUUAUGACAGAGUUUAUCACUUUCUGCUCUGCUGUGGAAACGAUAUCGAAUUGUCGUGGGUUCGAGCCCCACGUUGGGCG
rnacentral:tRNA from 2 species